GACGAACGCUGGCGGCGUGCCUAAUACAUGCAAGUAGAACGCUGAAGAGAGGAGCUUGCUCUUCUUGGAUGAGUUGCGAACGGGUGAGUAACGCGUAGGUAACCUGCCUUGUAGCGGGGGAUAACUAUUGGAAACGAUAGCUAAUACCGCAUAACAAUGGAUGACACAUGUCAUUUAUUUGAAAGGGGCAAUUGCUCCACUACAAGAUGGACCUGCGUUGUAUUAGCUAGUAGGUGAGGUAAUGGCUCACCUAGGCGACGAUACAUAGCCGACCUGAGAGGGUGAUCGGCCGCACUGGGACUGAGACACGGCCCAGACUCCUACGGGAGGCAGCAGUAGGGAAUCUUCGGCAAUGGGGGCAACCCUGACCGAGCAACGCCGCGUGAGUGAAGAAGGUUUUCGGAUCGUAAAGCUCUGUUGUAAGUCAAGAACGGGUGUGAGAGUGGAAAGUUCACACUGUGACGGUAGCGUACCAGAAAGGGACGGCUAACUACGUG
rnacentral:rRNA from 1 species